rnacentral:rRNA from 1 species
AUGAAGGGUUUGGAGACUUUCAAACUGGGUUAUAUCUGGCAUAUUGGGUCGGGGGAGAAAGUGAAUAUCUGGAACGAUCCAUGGGUUCCAAGCAAUGCAAAUAGAAGGGUGAUCACGCCGCGGGGUCAUACUAUCUUGUCUACAGUUAGCGAUCUCAUUGACCCAAUAAGUGAGAACUGGGACGAGGAUUUGAUUAGAGCCAUCUUUAAUCCGGUCGAUGUCCGAAGGAUACUAGAAAUCCCGUUGAAUCACAAUGCUUUUGAGGAUUUCAUAGCUUGGCACCCGGACCGAAGAGGUAUCUUCUCGGUACGAUCAGCUUACCAUACUCAAUGGAUUCGGACUUUCAGGACACAUGCAAAUGCAUUAGCGCAGCCAAGAAGGUCAAUCACACCACCAGUUUGGAGUAUUCUAUGGAAACUUCAAAUCCCACGUAAAGUUCAAAUUUUCUGCUGGCGGGCACUACAUGGAAUCCUACCUUUAAAAUCCAUUCUCACUAACAGGCACGUUGGCAUACAGGCUGCUUGCCCCAUAUGUCACAAUGCGGCCGAAGAUGUGAGGCACCUAUUGUUUGAUUGUUCCCAUGCUACGGAGAUGUGGACUCGGCUUGGAAUCCUAGAUAUCAUCAAUGAAGCGAAAAGGAUUGAUCGAUCAGGGUCAAUCAUACUAGAACACAUCCUGGUCAGCCCACCGAGACAAGUGCCCGCAAAACCGAACUUGGAUGUGAAACAGAUCAUAGCGGUGGGAGGAUGGUACCUGUGGUGGAUCAGACGUCAGUACACUCAUAAUGGUAAUCCUCCACCAGCAUUCAAAUGGCCUAUAUCGGUCCUUGCUAUAUCUAAUAAUUUCGAUCAGGCAAAUGCGAAGAGAACUGGUUCAGUGCAAGAAAGAUGGGAGAAGCCGGAGCCUAGAUUUGUCAAACUAAAUGUUGAUGCAGCUUUUUAUGUCGAGAAGGUGUGGGAGCAACUGCUGCGGUUAUCAGAGAUGUAA